rnacentral:rRNA from 1 species
GCCUGAUGCAGCAACGCCGCGUGGAGGAUGAAGGUUUUCGGAUUGUAAACUCCUUUGAUCGGGGAUGAAAAAAAUGACAGUACCCGAAAAACAAGCCACGGCUAACUACGUGCCAGCAGCCGCGGUAAUACGUAGGUGGCAAGCGUUGUCCGGAAUUAUUGGGCGUAAAGGGCGCGUAGGCGGUCCCUUAAGUCAGAUGUGAAAUCCCGAGGCUUAACCUCGGGCGUGCAUUUGAAACUGGGGGACUAGAGUGCAGGAGAGGUAAGUGGAAUUCCUAGUGUAGCGGUGAAAUGCGUAGAUAUUAGGAGGAACACCAGUGGCGAAGGCGACUUACUGGACUGUAACUGACGCUGAGGCGCGAAA